rnacentral:rRNA from 1 species
AUUGAACGCUGGCGGCAGGCCUAACACAUGCAAGUCGAACGAGUGGCGGACGCGUGCGUGUUGUCUGGGAAACUGCCCGAUGGAGGGGGAUAACUCCUGGAAACGGUAGCUAAUACCCCAUACCAUCGCAUGUGCCCAGAUGGGAUUAGCUAGUGGGGGGGGUAACGGCUCACCUAGGCGACGCUCCCUAGCUGGUCGGAGAGGAUGACCCGCCACAAUGGAACUGAGACACGGUCCAGACUCCUACGGGAGGCAGCAUGGGGGAAGAUUGCACAAUGGGCGCAAGCCUGAUGCAGCCAUGCCGCGUGUAUGAAGAAGGCCUUCGGGUUGUAAAGUACUUUCAGCGAGGAGGCGUUACUCGCAGAAGAAGCACCGGCUAACUCCGUGCCAGCAGCCGCGGUAAUUC